CCUACGGGAGGCAGCAGUGAGGAAUAUUGGUCAAUGGGCGUAAGCCUGAACCAGCCAAGUCGCGUGAGGGAUGAAGGUUUUAUGGAUCGUAAACCUCUUUUAUAAGGGAGUAAAGUGCGGGGCGUGUCCCGUUUUGUAUGUACCUUAUGUAUGAGGAUCGGCUAACUCCGUGCCAGCAGCCGCGGUAAUACGGAGGAUCCGAGCGUUAUCCGGAUUUAGUGGGUUUAAAGGGUGAGUAGGCGGGCUUUUAAGUCAGCGGUGAAAGUCUGUGGCUCAACCAUAGAAUUGCAGUUGAAACUGGGGGGCUGGAGUAUGUGUGAGGCAGGCGGAAUGCGUGGUGUAGCGGUGAAAUGCUUAGAUAUCACGCAGAACCCCGAUUGCGAAGGCAGCCUGCCAAGCCAUGACUGACGCUGAUGCACGAAAGCGUGGGGAUCAAACAGGAUUAGAUACCCGGGUAGUC
rnacentral:rRNA from 1 species